GCAAGUCGAACGAGAAUUUCACUUCGGUGAAAGGAAAGUGGCAAACGGGCGAGUAACGCGUAUCUAAUCCGCCUUGGAGCGAGGCAUAACUAUGGAGAUAUAGCUAAUUCCUCAUACGACCUAUAGAAUGAAAAUAUAUAGGUGAAAGGUUUACCACUCUAAGAAGAGGAUGCGUCCUAUCAGGUAGUUGGUGUAGGUAAAGGCUCACCAAGCCUAUGACGGGUAGCCGGUCUGAGAGGAUGUCC
rnacentral:rRNA from 1 species